CCCCUCAAGGUGUGAACAUGGAUGGACCUGCGGCGCAUUAGCUAGUUGGUGAGGUAACGGCCCACCAAGGCGAUGAUGCGUAGCCGGCCUGAGAGGGUAAACGGCCACAUUGGGACUGAGACACGGCCCAAACUCCUACGGGAGGCAGCAGUAGGGAAUUUUCGUCAAUGGGGGGAACCCUGAACGAGCAAUGCCGCGUGAGUGAAGAAGGUCUUCGGAUCGUAAAGCUCUGUUGUAAGUGAAGAACGGCUCAUAGAGGAAAUGCUAUGGGAGUGACGGUAGCUUACCAGAAAGCCACGGCUAACUACGUGCCAGCAGCCGCGGUAAUACGUAGGUGGCAAGCGUUAUCCGGAAUCAUUGGGCGUAAAGGGUGCGUAGGUGGCGUACUAAGUCUGUAGUAAAAGGCAAUGGCUCAACCAUUGUAAGCUAUGGAAACUGGUAGGCUAGAGUGCAGAAGAGGGCGAUGGAAUUCCAUGUGUAGCGGUAAAAUGCGUAGAUAUAUGGAGGAACACCAGUGGCGAAGGCGGUCGCCUGGUCUGUAACUGACACUGAGGCACGAAAGCGUGGGGAGCAAAUAGGAUUAGAUACCCUAGUAGUCCACGCCGUAAACGAUGAGAACUAAGUGUUGGAGGAAUUCAGUGCUGCAGUUAACGCAAUAAGUUCUCCGCCUGGGGAGUAUGCACGCAAGUGUGAAACUCAAAGGAAUUGACGGGGGCCCGCACAAGCGGUGGAGUAUGUGGUUUAAUUCGAAGCAACGCGAAGAACCUUACCAGGCCUUGACAUGGAUGCAAAGGCUCUAGAGAUAGAGAGAUAAUUAUGGAUCACACAGGUGGUGCAUGGUUGUCGUCAGCUCGUG
rnacentral:rRNA from 1 species